rnacentral:rRNA from 1 species
GACGAACGCUGGCGGCGUGCCUAAUACAUGCAAGUCGAACGCAGUUGGGACGGUUGAGUAACACGUGGGUAACCUCCCAUCAGAGGGGAUAACACUUGGAAACAGGUGCUAAACCGAUACUGAUGGAUGGUCCCGCGGGGCAUUAGCUAGUUGGUGAGGGAACGGCUCACCAAGGCCACGAUGCAUAGACGGCCUGAGAGGUGGAUCGGCCACACUGGAACUGAGACACGGCCCAGACUCCGACGGGAGGCAGCAGUAGGGAAUCUUGGGCAAUGGACGAAAGUCUGACCGAGCAACGCCGCGUGAGUGAAGAAGGUUUUCGGAUCGUAAAACUCUGUUAUUAGAGAGGCGGUAUCUGACCAAGAAGCCACGGCUAACUACGUGCCAGCCGCCGCGGUAAUAC